rnacentral:rRNA from 1 species
AGGAUAAACGCUGGCGGCGUGCCUAACACAUGCAAGUCGAACGUCCUACGCAAGUAGGGAGUGGCGGACGGGUGAGUAACACGUGGGCAAUCUACCUUUCGGUGAGGAAUACCGGCGAGAAAUCGCCGACAAUACCGCAUACGCUUCGCAAGAAGCAAAGUCGCAAGACGCCGGAGGAGGAGCCUGCGCCCGAUUAGCUCGUUGGUGGAGUAAUGGUCUACCAAGGCGACGAUCGGUAGCUGGUCUGAGAGGAUGAUCAGCCACACUGGGACUGAGACACGGCCCAGACUCCUACGGGAGGCAGCAGUGGGGAAUAUUGGACAAUGGGCGAAAGCCUGAUCCAGCAAUGCCGCGUGUGUGAAGAAGGUCUUCGGACUGUAAAGCACUUUCGACGGGGACGAUGAUGACGGUACCCGUAGAAGAACGCCCGGCUAACUUCGUGCCAGCAGCCGC